rnacentral:rRNA from 1 species
GAUGAACGCUAGCUACAGGCUUAACACAUGCAAGUCGAGGGGCAUCAGGAAGAAAGCUUGCUUUCUUUGCUGGCGACCGGCGCACGGGUGAGUAACACGUAUCCAACCUGCCCUUUACUCGGGGAUAGCCUUUCGAAAGAAAGAUUAAUACCCGAUAGCAUAAUGAUUCCGCAUGGUUUCAUUAUUAAAGGAUUCCGGUAAAGGAUGGGGAUGCGUUCCAUUAGGUUGUUGGUGAGGUAACGGCUCACCAAGCCUUCGAUGGAUAGGGGUUCUGAGAGGAAGGUCCCCCACAUUGGAACUGAGACACGGUCCAAACUCCUACGGGAGGCAGCAGUGAGGAAUAUUGGUCAAUGGGCGGUAGCCUGAACCAGCCAAGUAGCGUGAAGGAUGAAGGCUCUAUGGGUCGUAAACUUCUUUUAUAUAAGAAUAAAGUGCAGUAUGUAUACUGUUUUGUAUGUAUUAUAUGAAUAAGGAUCGGCUAACUCCGUGCCAGCAGCCGCGGUAAUACGGAGGAUCCGAGCGUUAUCCGGAUUUAUUGGGUUUAAAGGGAGCGUAGGUGGACUGGUAAGUCAGUUGUGAAAGUUUGCGGCUCAACCGUAAAAUUGCAGUUGAUACUGUCAGUCUUGAGUACAGUAGAGGUGGGCGGAAUUCGUGGUGUAGCGGUGAAAUGCUUAGAUACCACGAAGAACUCCGAUUGCGAAGGCAGCUCACUGGACUGCAACUGACACUGAUGCUCGAAAGUGUGGGUAUCAAACAGGAUUAGAUACCCUGGUAGUCCACACAGUAAACGAUGAAUACUCGCUGUUUGCGAUAUACAGUAAGCGGCCAAGCGAAAGCAUUAAGUAUUCCACCUGGGGAGUACGCCGGCAACGGUGAAACUCAAAGGAAUUGACGGGGGCCCGCACAAGCGGAGGAACAUGUGGUUUAAUUCGAUGAUACGCGAGGAACCUUACCCGGGCUUAAAUUGCAGUGGAAUGAUGUGGAAACAUGUCAGUGAGCAAUCACCGCUGUGAAGGUGCUGCAUGGUUGUCGUCAGCUCGUGCCGUGAGGUGUCGGCUUAAGUGCCAUAACGAGCGCAACCCUUAUCUUUAGUUACUAACAGGUCAUGCUGAGGACUCUAGAGAGACUGCCGUCGUAAGAUGUGAGGAAGGUGGGGAUGACGUCAAAUCAGCACGGCCCUUACGUCCGGGGCUACACACGUGUUACAAUGGGGGGUACAGAAGGCAGCUAGCGGGUGACCGUAUGCUAAUCCCAAAAGCCUCUCUCAGUUCGGAUCGAAGUCUGCAACCCGACUUCGUGAAGCUGGAUUCGCUAGUAAUCGCGCAUCAGCCACGGCGCGGUGAAUACGUUCCCGGGCCU